rnacentral:misc_RNA from 1 species
GAAAAUAAUAGUAUAUUGCUUUGCAAAAGCAAGCACAAACUAAUGUAAAUUUUUCUUUUUUGGGUACAAUGAGCCAUUGAAAUUUGAACUUAUUACUAAAAGCUAAAGGGGGUUGGUACAAACUUAUCUAUUAUUUGGAUGGAGGUAUAUUUACAGGAGCUACAGAUCAUCAGAACUUUAUCAACAAUCCAUCCUACGUAUGCUUUACAUUCAUCUUUCAAUAUAUUUAAUUUCCUCCCUCGAAAGAUCUCUACUUCUCUAGGUCUGCUAUUAUUCGCUAUGCCCAGGUAUAAAUAAACCGCGCGCUAUCAUCUCCUGAACCUCCAUCUCUGAACGGAAACUCGUAAUGAAUUGCUCAGCCCUUUCAUCUAUUCCUCGCAUUUGUGGAGAUGCGAAUCCCAACGACUCCCACAUAUCAUCUGCUGCAAUGGCUCUUUCAUCUCCUUUUCCAUCUUCCGGCCUGCUUGCUUCUGCCUCUGUUGAUACUAUCACCGCCUGGUGGUUGUCCAAGAACUUCAUAGUCUUGGCACUUGGCGGACACUGCUCCACCAACUCAUCAGCAACAGGCUCUCGAAAGAGCUUGUCAAUAUACACAGGCGCAGUUUUUUUGUGGGAAAGGAAGCGGCUUCUACGUCGUUUGAAAGGAAGAGCAUACUUAGAGGGACGGAAAAAAAACCUUCUUGAACUGCUCUGAUCACGCUGCUCAAAGAAGUUAGAACUCUUGGAUGGAUAUUUAGGCUUCUUGAGAGCCAUGGACUUGUGAGGUUUAUGGAGCAGCUUGGAGGUGAAGUUCUGCCAUGCUUUCUUGGCAGGUGGAAGCUUAAGGCUGAGGUUUAAGCAAGACAUGAGAGAUUUGGGGGUGAGGGGUGGGGUGUUAGAAUGGUUGCUUAUAAUAUAAAGGGUGGGUAUAGU